CUUUUUUUCUGCAGAAAGCGACCAAUGAGGCUUAUUCUUCAUCUUGAUUAUUGAUUUUUUCCCACCUAAGUUCACAUUUGAACGGCGUGACUUUCGCGUUACACAAAUCUGUUACGAAUUACGCCAUUCUAAGCAUCAUCAUGUAUAUUAAAAUUUUAUUUUUUAUUUUUUUAAAUAAUUAUUUAGUUUAUCUACUUUAAAAUCACAAUUACUAAGAUAUUUAUCAAAUAUUCUUUCGUAUUUAGUAUAUUAUAAAUAAGUGAGUUUACUUUCCAGUUUAUAUUGGUAAUUUUUUGUCUGGUUACAAGUUUUAUGAAUAACAUGAGUUCAGCAGAUGAAAAUGACCAUAAAUGGGAUUAUGUUGGUUUCAGUAGUAGUGAUAGAAAAACUGUACCCUUGUACAUAAAAAAAUUUGACGUACUUCGUCAUGACAAAAAUAAGUGUUACUGGAUAUUUAAAGAAUCUGAAAACAAAUAUGCUAAAGGAGUUGUCUUGUUAACUGCAGCAACCAAUAAAGAGAUAAUAACUACAGUAAAUCGAAAACGACCGGCUAUGCCAAAUUUAAAUAAAUGUAACAGCGCAUCAUCACUUAGUGAAUUCGAAAUUUCUACAAAAAAAGCAAAAGCUGAUGACAAGCCAAAAAAUACCAAUAGAAUACUUAAGUCUCUUAAUUUAAGUAAGAAAAUUGAUGAGAUCAGACAAAUAUCAACUGAGUCUCACAAAAUUUCCAACGAAAAAGUGAAGACUGUACCAUCUGGAAAAUCAUCAAAACCAAAAGUAAUUGGUAUGACUGCCAUCAAGCCACCGACAAAGACUUCCACAACCGAACAAGUCAAUGGAAAAAAAUAAAAUAACUCAAGUAAUUAAAAAGAUCAUGCUACUGCGUCAAUAUUAGACAACCUUGAUUCAACAAAAAAUGAUGCUAAUACUGUUCCACAGAAUUUAUCAACAGAGGUACAGAGCAAUGAAAAAGAAUUGUUAGAAGAUGAUCCAAGUUUUCUUGAAAAAGCUGAGAUUCUUCAUGAAUCAGUAAAGAAUUCUUCAAUUGAACAAAAGUUGCAGGAUUGCAGAUAAACCCAAAGCUGAAACAUAUGUUUCAAUCAACAUUUUUUUUCCUGACAGGUCUAACAAUUAACCGAAAAUAAAUGAGUAAAAAUUUUUCGUUCGCACAUAAACGAUAUGAACAAUUGACUAAGAAAGAAAUAGAGGAAAUGUUGCUACGCGUUCAAAUGGAGUUGGAAGCAGAAAAAAAUAAGACUGGGAAACUCGAAAAUACGAUUUCAAAAGUUCAAGAAUUAAAUUUUAAUCAUAUCAGCAAAGAAAGAAAUGCUGAGGAGCUGGCAUUACCUCGAGUUGGUUACAAAGAUACUCAUGAAAACAAGGUAAGGAUUCUUUUGUAUAGUUAUUUACAUUGAGUUCGAACUGAAGGGGUGUAAGUGACCCAAAAAUUUCUUUUGGAAUACAUGUUUUUGAGAAAACAAUUUUAUCAGAUCAAAUCCACUUCUUUUGACAGAAUUUUCUUUUGUUACUUAUAUCUCUUCGGUUUAAACCCCUUCAUAUGCACUUGUAACUAAAUUAUAUCAUUACAGGCUGUUUAAAUAUUUCGUUAAAUAAUACUAACUUUUUAUAGGUUCACAUUGGACAAAAUGUUUGGAUUAGGAGUUUAGCUCACUUAUGGCAAACAACAGCUCAAAUCAAUUAAUAAGAGAUAUGUGUCAGGUUGUGUCUUCUCCUGAAGAAAUAGUAAAAAGUACAAUAACAGGACGCUCGGGUAACAAAAAUCUAAAACAAAAAUUAGAAUCACAAGUUGACUUAAAUAGAGAAAGUCUAGACCCAGUUAAAAUACUAGCUAUAAGAGAUCUAUUAUCGUAUUUUCUAAACACUAGAUGCAAUCAUUUUGACCCGCUGAAAAAGAUAAAAUUUUAGGUGAUUUUCGUAAAACUAUCGAUUCAUUUGUAUGAGAUGAAAAAAAAAAAACUGAUUCCAAAAAAAUCUAGUGCAAAAAUUACUGAUAUGAUGAAUGCAUCUACUUCUGGAAUCUCAAGUAACACUGGAACUGAAGACCAGAUUAAUUUGAGUAAUUAUGAAAAGUAUAUUGAAAUGAUGAAUCCGAUUGAUGAAAAUGAUUCUAUAAUAGAUAAUAUAUUAGAAAAUGAACCUCUCGGUAGUUCAAUUUCUGAAGAGAGUCAUGAGAAUGCAGAGUUUGCAAUAACUGAAGAACAAAAUGAAAAAAAAAAAAAAACCAAACUUUGAUGGUACAGAUGGUGAUGGAGACCAAAGUAGUAGUAGUAGUGAGAUAUCUAAGAAGGACCAAGAUUAAUGAUAGUAAUAAUUAGUGAUAAUAAUAAUAUUAUUAUUAUUACUACUAUUAUUAUUAAAAUGCAACAAUACGAGAAAAAAUGUGGCUUGACGUACCUAAAUCUUAUGAAUAAUAAUCAUUAUUAUUCAUUAAAAAAUAUUUUAAUAAUCGAUAUUAAUAAAAGAAUGUGUCCGGUUAUCGGCCGGAUUUUAUUGCGACCGACGUACAAUAAUAUAAAAAAAUUGAUAUUAA